GAUGAACGCUGGCGGCGUGCCUAAUACAUGCAAGUCGAGCGAACAGAUGAGAAGCUUGCUUCUCUGAUGUUAGCGGCGGACGGGUGAGUAACACGUGGGUAACCUACCUAUAAGACUGGGAUAACUCCGGGAAACCGGGGCUAAUACCGGAUAAUAUUUUGAACCGCAUGGUUCAAUAGUGAAAGACGGUUUCGGCUGUCACUUAUAGAUGGACCCGCGCCGUAUUAGCUAGUUGGUAAGGUAACGGCUUACCAAGGCGACGAUACGUAGCCGACCUGAGAGGGUGAUCGGCCACACUGGAGCUGAGACACGGGCCAGACUACUACGGGAGGCAGCAGUAGGGAAUCUUACGCAAUGGGCGAAAGCCUGACGGAGCAACGCCGCGUGAGUGAUGAAGGUCUUCGGAUCGUAAAACUCUGUUGUUAGGGAAGAACAAAUUUGUUAGUAACUGAACAAGUCUUGACGGUACCUAACCAGAAAGCCACGGCUAACUACGUGCCAGCCGCCGCAGUAA
rnacentral:rRNA from 1 species